rnacentral:rRNA from 1 species
GUAGGGAAUAUUGCACAAUGGGGGAAACCCUGAUGCAGCAACGCCGCGUGAGUGAUGAAGGCCUUCGGGUUGUAAAGCUCUGUCUUUGGGGACGAUAAUGACGGUACCCAAGGAGGAAGCCACGGCUAACUACGUGCCAGCAGCCGCGGUAAUACGUAGGUGGCAAGCGUUGUCCGGAUUUACUGGGCGUAAAGGGAGCGUCGGUGGAUAUUUAAGUGGGAUGUGAAAUCCCCGGGCUUAACCUGGGGGCUGCAUUCCAAACUGGAUGUCUAGAGUGCAGGAGAGGAGAGUGGAAUUCCUAGUGUAGCGGUGAAAUGCGUAGAGAUUAGGAAGAACACCAGUGGCGAAGGCGAUUCUCUGGACUGUAACUGACGCUGAGGCUCGAAAGCGUGGGGAGCAAACAGGAUUAGAAACCCGAGUAGUCC